AAUUUCUUUUACCGCUUUUGGUCAUUUACCAUCUUAACUUGUUUUGUUAUAUAUAGCACUGAAUAACACAUGCAAGUUGGAUAAAAACGAUAUUGAAGAGGAUCCAACCAGCUGUUCUCAAGAAAAUGCUGUUUUAGUUUUUCUUUUGUCUAUUUUUGUAAAUUUAAAUAAAAAUUAUGUUGAUUUUA